rnacentral:rRNA from 1 species
UACGGGGGGGGCAAGCGUUGUUCGGAAUUACUGGGCGUAAAGGGCUGGUAGGCGGCCAACUAAGUCGGACGUGAAAUCCCCAGGCUCAACCUGGGAACUGCGUCCGAUACUGGAUGGCUUGAAUUCGGGAGAGGGAUGCAGAAUUCCAGGUGUAGCGGUGAAAUGCGUAGAUAUCUGGAGGAACACCGGUGGCGAAGGCGGCGUUCUGGACUGCAACUGACACUGAGGAACGAAAGCCAGGGGAGCAAACGGG